rnacentral:rRNA from 1 species
GAUGAACGCUGGCGGCGUGCCUAACACAUGCAAGUCGAGCGAACAGACGAGGAGCUUGCUCCUCUGACGUGAGGCGAGGGGGGGUGUGAAACAUGUGGAUCACCCACCUAUAAGACGGGGAAAACUUCGGGAAACCGGCGCUAAUACGGGAGAAGCUACUGAACCGCGGGGGGGAAUAGUAAAAGACGGUGUUGGUGGCUGUAAUCGCUGGAUACGAGCCGGAUUAGCUAGUUGGGAAGGUAACGGCUUACCAAGGCAACGAUGCGUAGCCGACCGGAGAGGGUGAUCGGCCACACUGGAACUGAGACGCGGUCAAGACUACUACGGGAGGCAGCAGUAGGGAAUCUUCCGCAAUGGGCGAAAGCUUGACGGAGCAACGCGGCGUGAGUGAUGAAGGUCUUCGGAUCGUAAAGCUCUGUUAUUAGGGAAGAACAAAUGUGUAAGGAAAUAUGCACGUCUUGACGGUACCUAAUCAGAAAGCCACGGCUAACUACGUG